rnacentral:rRNA from 2 species
AGCGUACACGGUGGAUGCCCUGGCAGUCAGAGGCGAUGAAGGACGUGCUAAUCUGCGAUAAGCGUCGGUAAGGUGAUAUGAACCGUUAUAACCGGCGAUUUCCGAAUGGGGAAACCCAGUGUGAUUCGUCACACUAUCAUUAACUGAAUCCAUAGGUUAAUGAGGCGAACCGGGGGAACUGAAACAUCUAAGUACCCCGAGGAAAAGAAAUCAACCGAGAUUCCCCCAGUAGCGGCGAGCGAACGGGGAGCAGCCCAGAGCCUGAAUCAGUGUGUGUGUUAGUGGAAGCGUCUGGAAAGGCGCGCGAUACAGGGUGACAGCCCCGUACACAAAAAUGCACAUGCUGUGAGCUCGAUGAGUAGGGCGGGACACGUGGUAUCCUGUCUGAAUAUGGGGGGACCAUCCUCCAAGGCUAAAUACUCCUGACUGACCGAUAGUGAACCAGUACCGUGAGGGAAAGGCGAAAAGAACCCCGGCGAGGGGAGUGAAAAAGAACCUGAAACCGUGUACGUACAAGCAGUGGGAGCACGCUUAGGCGUGUGACUGCGUACCUUUUGUAUAAUGGGUCAGCGACUUAUAUUCUGUAGCAAGGUUAACCGAAUAGGGGAGCCGAAGGGAAACCGAGUCUUAACUGGGCGUUAAGUUGCAGGGUAUAGACCCGAAACCCGGUGAUCUAGCCAUGGGCAGGUUGAAGGUUGGGUAACACUAACUGGAGGACCGAACCGACUAAUGUUGAAAAAUUAGCGGAUGACUUGUGGCUGGGGGUGAAAGGCCAAUCAAACCGGGAGAUAGCUGGUUCUCCCCGAAAGCUAUUUAGGUAGCGCCUCGUGAAUUCAUCUCCGGGGGUAGAGCACUGUUUCGGCAAGGGGGUCAUCCCGACUUACCAACCCGAUGCAAACUACGAAUACCGGAGAAUGUUAUCACGGGAGACACACGGCGGGUGCUAACGUCCGUCGUGAAGAGGGAAACAACCCAGACCGCCAGCUAAGGUCCCAAAGUCAUGGUUAAGUGGGAAACGAUGUGGGAAGGCCCAGACAGCCAGGAUGUUGGCUUAGAAGCAGCCAUCAUUUAAAGAAAGCGUAAUAGCUCACUGGUCGAGUCGGCCUGCGCGGAAGAUGUAACGGGGCUAAACCAUGCACCGAAGCUGCGGCAGCGACGCUGAUGCGUUGUUGGGUAGGGGAGCGUUCUGUAAGCCUGCGAAGGUGUGCUGUGAGGCAUGCUGGAGGUAUCAGAAGUGCGAAUGCUGACAUAAGUAACGAUAAAGCGGGUGAAAAGCCCGCUCGCCGGAAGACCAAGGGUUCCUGUCCAACGUUAAUCGGGGCAGGGUGAGUCGACCCCUAAGGCGAGGCCGAAAGGCGUAGUCGAUGGGAAACAGGUUAAUAUUCCUGUACUUGGUGUUACUGCGAAGGGGGGACGGAGAAGGCUAUGUUGGCCGGGCGACGGUUGUCCCGGUUUAAGCGUGUAGGCUGGUUUUCCAGGCAAAUCCGGAAAAUCAAGGCUGAGGCGUGAUGACGAGGCACUACGGUGCUGAAGCAACAAAUGCCCUGCUUCCAGGAAAAGCCUCUAAGCAUCAGGUAACAUCAAAUCGUACCCCAAACCGACACAGGUGGUCAGGUAGAGAAUACCAAGGCGCUUGAGAGAACUCGGGUGAAGGAACUAGGCAAAAUGGUGCCGUAACUUCGGGAGAAGGCACGCUGAUAUGUAGGUGAAGUCCCUCGCGGAUGGAGCUGAAAUCAGUCGAAGAUACCAGCUGGCUGCAACUGUUUAUUAAAAACACAGCACUGUGCAAACACGAAAGUGGACGUAUACGGUGUGACGCCUGCCCGGUGCCGGAAGGUUAAUUGAUGGGGUUAGCGCAAGCGAAGCUCUUGAUCGAAGCCCCGGUAAACGGCGGCCGUAACUAUAACGGUCCUAAGGUAGCGAAAUUCCUUGUCGGGUAAGUUCCGACCUGCACGAAUGGCGUAAUGAUGGCCAGGCUGUCUCCACCCGAGACUCAGUGAAAUUGAACUCGCUGUGAAGAUGCAGUGUACCCGCGGCAAGACGGAAAGACCCCGUGAACCUUUACUAUAGCUUGACACUGAACAUUGAGCCUUGAUGUGUAGGAUAGGUGGGAGGCUUUGAAGUGUGGACGCCAGUCUGCAUGGAGCCGACCUUGAAAUACCACCCUUUAAUGUUUGAUGUUCUAACGUGGACCCGUAAUCCGGGUUGCGGACAGUGUCUGGUGGGUAGUUUGACUGGGGCGGUCUCCUCCUAAAGAGUAACGGAGGAGCACGAAGGUUGGCUAAUCCUGGUCGGACAUCAGGAGGUUAGUGCAAUGGCAUAAGCCAGCUUGACUGCGAGCGUGACGGCGCGAGCAGGUGCGAAAGCAGGUCAUAGUGAUCCGGUGGUUCUGAAUGGAAGGGCCAUCGCUCAACGGAUAAAAGGUACUCCGGGGAUAACAGGCUGAUACCGCCCAAGAGUUCAUAUCGACGGCGGUGUUUGGCACCUCGAUGUCGGCUCAUCACAUCCUGGGGCUGAAGUAGGUCCCAAGGGUAUGGCUGUUCGCCAUUUAAAGUGGUACGCGAGCUGGGUUUAGAACGUCGUGAGACAGUUCGGUCCCUAUCUGCCGUGGGCGCUGGAGAACUGAGGGGGGCUGCUCCUAGUACGAGAGGACCGGAGUGGACGCAUCACUGGUGUUCGGGUUGUCAUGCCAAUGGCACUGCCCGGUAGCUAAAUGCGGAAGAGAUAAGUGCUGAAAGCAUCUAAGCACGAAACUUGCCCCGAGAUGAGUUCUCCCUGACUCCUUGA